ncrna:unclassified sequences DTF2800 RNA
CUGCCGUGUAAUGCAUUGUCUGAUCAACGAUGGCUCACGUUAUUCGGCAGCUAAGUAAAUAUGUAACACAGCUAUCUGAUGAGCAAGAAAGCUGCAAUCCGUAUCGGAGAAAUCCGGAGGACUGCAUUCUCUUUCUAUAGGAUAACUGCGCC